rfam:Alligator mississippiensis ScZkoYb_636, whole genome shotgun sequence.
UGCAGCUGUGUCAAAUUCGGUACCUGCCUUCUCUGUGGUGGGUACCGGCCCUAACAGCUGCCACAGAAACACCUGUAGCUCAUGGGCCCCAUGUCUCUUUCUCUUUGGACCCUGGGGAUAAAUAUCUGCUACAGACAUUG